UGCUCACUUCAGCAGCAUACUAAAAUUGGAAUGAUACAGAGAAGAUCAGCAUGGCCCCCAUGUAAGGAUGACAUGCAAAUUCGUGAAGUGCUCCAUAGUUUU
rnacentral:snRNA from 1 species